CCCGAUGGAUUCUCCUCUGCAUCUCUCCGGCUGCACAACCCACGUGUUGUGGUGCCAAGCAGUAAGCCCAGCUCCUGAAGUUGUUGAAAACGAGUUUGUUACCCGGGGCUGUUCUGGAGGGAGUUGCAACAGCAUUGUGUCAGGAAAGAGGAUGUGGGGACACGUCAAAGCAUGUGUUUUACAGUCCAUAAAAAGUAGAAGGAAGGUCUAUUAGUGCUAAGUCUUUACUAAAUGAAGAGACCAAAGGCUGAAUGUUAACAUGAAGGGAAAGUUUCUCACUGCUGAGAAGCGGAAAUUCAUUACUCCUGGACCCUCAUUGUUACAUUCACAAAGCUCAUCAUCGGCUGCAAGGCUGGCUGGGAAAUAAGAGCAGAGCCGGUGAGCUGCACUGCCAGGAUGACCAUCUGAGAUAAAGAAUAGUGAGAUUUUCUGCACGACUUCUGAAGACCGCCUCUACAUAAGAAAGGAAAUUUAAUGAGGCCAAGCUGAAGUGCGUGCUCACCCGCAGUGGUUGUGCCACUCACUGUGGAUAUCAGGCUGCGAGACAGAACAUGUCCCUUGUCAGGGAGCCCUUCAGCUAGAUGGUAUUUAGAGGUCAUGAGAGGAAACACGCUGAAGAAGUACAGCUGAGGUGAGGAGAAAGUCAUAAAAAUGUUUAGGAGAGGUUAUUGUGUUGGGCGGGUAAGAAAAUAAAACACAAGUUCAAAAUAAACCAGGCGUCACCAGGUUUACUGUUUGUGGAAUUAAAUGAUUAUUUCCAGGAACUCCCCACAAUUCUGUGUGCUGUGACUGCUCAGAUAAAACAACUUCUAAAAUAACCCUUUCAGUAUUUAGAGGUCAAGCCCUACCUCUGAUCAGCUUAUGAUGCAAUUUAGUAAUUUUCCAUUUCCAAACGGAUAAUUUUCAAACAUGUGCUUGUGAUGCUUUUUCUAAGAAGCACUCUCUAUUCUCUGAAAAAGUAAUUGUAAACAGCUCAUAGCCACCUAAUUAUUUUCUCUCAAAGUCCUCAGGCCCACUAAACUCUUGAUGAUGGUUGAGUGGUUGCUAUCCUGAAACUGCUGCCUCAGAUUGAUUGUUUCUGUUUCCUGUUGCUUUCUACCUCAUGGCUACCAGUCCAAGUGCUCCUGUUCAGACCUUUUCUUUGUUGAGCACAAUGAAAGUGUUAGUCAACACAUCAGCCUAUGUAAGGUAAUGCAAGUAAAUAAAUGUCACUAUAUUACUGUACUAGUUCUGUCCUGAA